UACCGGAUGUGCCGGAAGGUGAAAGGCUUGCUGCCUGAAGAUGAGCUCGCGUCCGAUUAGCUAGUAGGUGGGGUAAGAGCCUACCUAGGCGACGAUCGGUAGCUGGUCUGAGAGGAUGACCAGCCACACUGGGACUGAGACACGGCCCAGACUCCUACGGGAGGCAGCAGUGGGGAAUUUUCCGCAAUGGGCGAAAGCUUGACGGAGCAUUACCGCGUGAGGGAGGAAGGCUCUUGGGUUGUAAACCUCUUUUCUCAGGGAAGAACACAAUGACGGUACCUGAGGAAUCAGCAUCGGCUAACUCCGUGCCAGCAGCCGCGGUAAUACGGAGGAUGCAAGCGUUAUCCGGAAUGAUUGGGCGUAAAGCGUCCGCAGGUGGCUGUGUAAGUCUGCUGUCAAAGAGCAAAGCUCAACUUUGUAAAGGCAGUGGAAACUACACGGCUAGAGUGCGUUCGGGGCAGAGGGAAUUCCUGGUGUAGCGGUGAAAUGCGUAGAGAUCAGGAAGAAC
rnacentral:rRNA from 1 species